CGGAAGCCCGGAAAGAAGCAGAAGCAGCCUAGGGUCACACACGCCUCUGCUCCCCCUGUAUCCCGCUAGGGCUCUUUCUAAUACAAUCCAGAAACUCGGAUGAGAGCGUACUCCCCCCUUUACGGGCUCUGCAACCCCUGACUCCGCAAACAGAACCCCAGCCUCCUGAAUCCUCCGCGGGGCGGGGCCUCGCGGCCGCUGGAGAUUGGUUAAAGCCGCCGCGUUGCCGGAGGAAGGAGCCAAUCCGAGGUGGAGCGGCAGGUGGCGGCUAACCGCCAACAGCCGCGAGGCGCCGCUGGGCUUCCGGCGUACGCCCGCAGCACUCUGGCCUUGCCCAGGGGAUCCAGGGGACUUCCGAUCUGGGCGGGACGGAGGCACCCAGCGUGACGCUCCCGCGCCCAUAUACACCUGGGUGCGCGGGCCGGCGCCCCUCGAGUGAGAAGGCGGAACAGGGCCCGGGCCUGCUGUGCGCCCAACCUGGCGAUGAGAAAGUAACUUAGAUGAGCUGAACCUGGGUCCCCUUCAGUCGGCUGGCAGUCCUGUUGGGGUGACAGACACGCAAAAGACCAGUAAUUGUGUCCUGUGGCUGGGACAAAUAGAACGUUUGGGGAGUAGGACUCUUGUUCACCCUUGGCUUCGCCCUUUCUUCCUAUGUUUUUGUCCUUGUUGGCCUCCCAGCACCAUUGAAUGGAUUAAUCGAAGUAGAGGAAGACGUCUCUCUGACUAGAUUGUAAACUUCUAGAGAGCAGGAAGCUCUUUCCUGUGUUUUUAGUGUCACAACAUCAAGGGCCUGCAUAUAGUAGGCUGUGGGCAUGCUGUUUGGGCUGCUGUUGAAAAUGUCUGAAAAAGUGUAAAUGGGAGGAUCAGGGGAGAUGAACAUUUGGUGACUGCAAUUACUGUGUUCACAUUCAGUGUGAAUACUUAAUAUAAUCUUGUGAGGCUGAUACUAACCUCAGUUUUAAGAGGAAACAGAGUCCCAAAGAAGUGAAAUCACCUGCGUAAUGUCACACAGCUGGGAAGUGGUGAGCUGCGAUUUAAAUCCUGGUUUAUCAGCCUCCAAUGUGUUUGUUUUCUGAAUUGUCCACAAGAAAUGUCAGCUGAAAAUAACUGCCAUGGGACUGGAUAAUUAUAGCAGGAAAGAAAAACACUGAACACGUGGUCUUGGCAGAAGCAGAAGAAAAGUGGAAACUGAGAAGUCAAGCUGGAGAAUUAUUUCUGGCACUGUGGAAUCUCCCAUCCACUAGCUGCUCUGGCUUUUCCACGAGCUUCUGUGUCUUGCUGUGAUGAAAUGAUUCCCAGAUUGCUCUGUGACUGGUGGUGAAACUGCUGAACUUGAGAAGGCAGAAAGAACAAGAUGGAACUAAUGGCCUCAAAAUGAAAGCACCACCCUGAUUGCCAAAACAAGGAAGAAUUGACCAAAGACUGUAUACCCGUGAGAUGUUUGUUUAUCCCUUGCAAAAUUCAAGGGCUGGUAAAAAGAUGAUGUGUGAACCUUUAAAAAAAGAAGUAGAGAUUACCAGGACCCAGCAUGAAUUUCUUAAGAAGAAAUCCUGUUAAAUUCUCUUAACACAAGAGUUUGAAAACAAAAAUAAACAACGACCCCCCCUCCCCCCCGCCAAUUCUCUUUUAUUUCGGAUGGAGCCAAGCAGAUGAGAGCAAUGCUACUGACACUAUAUCUGUGGACUUUUAGCAAGCAGCUUGUCCAAGUCAUAAGAUGUCCUGUAGACAGAUUAGAGAAUGUAUGCAUACAGGGAGUGAGUAGAUGUAUGAAAAUGGAACAUCUCUACCUGCAAACAGGAGCAGGAACCAGGAAGGAACAGUCUGCUGUGUUCUACCAUCAAAUCCAAAUUAAAUGAGAGAAUACAAAGCUGAUCCUUAAUCUGUCAUUAGAAGCCACGACUCUCUCAAAUCACAGUGGAUUUACGGACUUCAAGCUGUAUUACAAAGCUGUAAUCAUCAAGACAGUAUGGUCCUGGCACAAGAAAAGACACUCAGAUCAAUGGAACAAAAUAGAGAACCCAG